rnacentral:rRNA from 1 species
AUUGAACGCUGGCGGCAGGCUUAACACAUGCAAGUCGAGCGGGGUGAUGGUGCUUGCACUAUCACUUAGCGGCGGACGGGUGAGUAAUGCUUAGGAAUCUGCCUAUUAGUGGGGGACAACAUCUCGAAAGGGAUGCUAAUACCGCAUACGUCCUACGGGAGAAAGCAGGGGAUCACUUGUGACCUUGCGCUAAUAGAUGAGCCUAAGUCGGAUUAGCUAGUUGGUGGGGUAAAGGCCUACCAAGGCGACGAUCUGUAGCGGGUCUGAGAGGAUGAUCCGCCACAAUGGAACUGAGACACGGCCCAGACUCCUACGGGAGGCAGCAGUGGGGAAUAUUGGACAAUGGGGGGAACCCUGAUCCAGCCAUGCCGCGUGUGUGAAGAAGGCCUUAUGGUUGUAAAGCACUUUAAGCGAGGAGGAGGCUCUUUUGGUUAAUACCCAAGAUGAGUGGACGUUACUCGCAGAAUAAGCACCGGCUAACUCUGUGCCAGCAGCCGCCGUAA